GUGACUUCUUAUUUGUGCAGAAGCAUCCAUCAUGGUCCUGUCUUUUCACAUGCCUGAGAACGAAAGGAAAAGAGUUGACGAAUGGAGGCGGUCAACUGAUGGUGUAAAGGCUGGUGUCAUGCAGCAGGUUCUGAAAUGAUGCCAGCGAUGUCAAGUUAUAUGAAAUCUGCAGUUGCCCCGGACUCCAGGGACCAACACAGCCCGGAAAGAGAGUCCUCUCCUGCAGAUGAGGAUAAUUACCUGCCAGAGGAUGUUGCUGGAGGAAGAAACGGAGCCUAACUUCACAUUGAAGGUUUGACUCCAGCUGUGCAGCCAGCUGUGUGGAGAGCCUGGCGACCUAGGAGAUCCCUCUUCUCACGUGGGAUGUAUCGGCAGUCAACGGGCCCUGUGCUGAGAACAGACAGUUGUACUUCACUCUCUUACUUUAUUCUUAAAGAUUUUUUUAAUAUUUUUGUUCAUAACUGUAUGUUUUAUGUUUAUUUUGGAAUUUCUAUUAUAAAAG